rnacentral:rRNA from 1 species
CAGCGCCACAAGUGGCAAUCACGUUUAUUGGGCCUAAAGCGUCCGUAGCCGGUUUAGCAAAUCUUUUGUGAAAUCGUCAGGCUUAACUUGACGAAUUGCAGAAGACACUACUAAACUAGGGACUGGGAGGAGUCAGAAGUAUUCUGGGGGGACCGGUAAAAUGGUAUAAUCCCCAGAGGACUACCGAUGGCGAAGGCACCUGACCAGAACAGAUCCGACGGUGAGGGACGAAAGCCAGGGGAGCAAACCGGAUUAGAUACCCGAGUAGUCC